UUGCCCCGGUCGGUGGUGUAGGACAUGUCCUGAUUGUCGUUAUCGAUCGACAACUUCGAGCGGGGUGGGCCUGAGGUUCGAAGCAUCGCAGGGAAGG
rnacentral:tRNA from 1 species